ACAAACAAAGCAAAUUCCAGUUAAAAAUCUGUGGUACUCCUAACACAAAGUACAUAGUAACUGUGAGUUCUUUUGAAAACAUUACUACUCUACUUAUUAACAAUAUAUUUUAAUAAAAGGCUGAGAAUACAUAGCAAUAAGGUAAAAACUAUCCUCUAGGGAGCAGAGGGUGGGAACAAAUAAUUUCCCAGAAAAUUCAAAUGUCUGCUCAAAGCAAACUGCUUUCAGAAUAAUUAUAUGCUUGUGCCUAAAACAAAAGCCCUGUUAAUUAAGCACUGAUUGGUUAAUUCAAUUGCAGUUUUAAUUUUGAUUGGUUAAUUAGGAUAAUC
rnacentral:lncRNA from 1 species